UACGUAGGUGGCAAGCGUUGUCCGGAUUUACUGGGCGUAAAGAGCGCGCAGGCGGUCGUCCAAGUCGAGUGUGAAAGCCCCCGGCUCAACUGGGGAGGGUCAUUCGAUACUGUUCGACUCGAAGGCAGGAGAGGGAAGUGGAAUUCCGGGUGUAGUGGUGAAAUGCGUAGAUAUCCGGAGGAACACCAGUGGCGAAGGCGACUUUCUGGCCUGUUCUUGACGCUGAGGCGCGAAAGCUAGGGGAGCAAACGGG
rnacentral:rRNA from 1 species